rnacentral:rRNA from 1 species
AUACGAAGGGGGCUAGCGUUGUUCGGAAUUACUGGGCGUAAAGCGCGUGUAGGCGGAUCGUUAAGUCAGGGGUGAAAGCCCGGGGCUCAACCCCGGAACUGCCCUUGAUACUGGCGAUCUAGAGUCCGGAAGAGGUGGGCGGAAUUCCCGGUGUAGAGGUGAAAUUCGUAGAUAUCGGGAGGAACACCAGUGGCGAAGGCGGCUCACUGGUCCGGUACUGACGCUGAGACGCGAAAGCGUGGGGAGCAAACAGGAUUAGAAACCCCUGUAGUCC